rnacentral:siRNA from 1 species
AAUUAGACCGAUUUGUCCGCUGC